rnacentral:rRNA from 1 species
GUGCCUAAUACAUGCAGUCGAGCGAAUGGAUUAAGAGCUUGCUCUUAUGAAGUUAGCGGCGGACGGGUGAGUAACACGUGGGUAACCUGCCCAUAAGACUGGGAUAACUCCGGGAAACCGGGGCUAAUACCGGAUAACAUUUUGAACCGCAUGGUUCGAAAUUGAAAGGCGGCUUCGGCUGUCACUUAUGGAUGGACCCGCGUCGCAUUAGCUAGUUGGUGAGGUAACGGCUCACCAAGGCAACGAUGCGUAGCCGACCUGAGAGGGUGAUCGGCCACACUGGGACUGAGACACGGCCCAGACUCCUACGGGAGGCAGCAGUAGGGAAUCUUCCGCAAUGGACGAAAGUCUGACGGAGCAACGCCGCGUGAGUGAUGAAGGCUUUCGGGUCGUAAAACUCUGUUGUUAGGGAAGAACAAGUGCUAGUUGAAUAAGCUGGCACCUUGACGGUACCUAACCAGAAAGCCACGGCUAACUACGUGCCAGCAGCCG